AAGAAAAAGGUUUUGGGGCAAGUGCUUAUAAGGUGGAUUGGAACCCACCUUCGAAAGAAGAAGGUUUUGGGGCAAGUGCUUAUAAGGUGGACUGGAACCCACCUUCGAAAGAAAAAGGUUUUGGGGCAAGUGCUUAUAAG